rnacentral:rRNA from 1 species
GUGCCAGCAGCCGCGGUAACACGUAGGGGGCGAGCGUUGUCCGGAUUUAUUGGGCGUAAAGAGCUCGUAGGCGGCUUAGUAAGUCUGCUGUGAAAGCUCCAGGCUUAACCUGGAGAGGCCAGUGGAUACUGCUAUGGCUAGAGUCCGGUAGGGGAGCGUGGAAUUCCCAGUGUAGCGGUGGAAUGCGCAGAUAUUGGGAGGAACACCAGCGGCGAAGGCGGCGCUCUGGACCGGAACUGACGCUGAGGAGCGAAAGCAUGGGUAGCAAACAGGAUUAGAUACCCUGGUAGUCCAUGCCGUAAACGUUGGGCACUAGGUGUGGGAUCCCGUCAACGGAUUCCGUGCCGUAGCUAACGCAUUAAGUGCCCCGCCUGGGGAGUACGGCCGCAAGGCUAAA